rnacentral:rRNA from 1 species
GGCUCAGGAUGAACGCUGGCGGCGUGCCUAAUACAUGCAAGUCGAACGCACAGCGAAAGGUGCUUGCACCUUUCAAGUGAGUGGCGAACGGGUGAGUAACACGUGGAUAACCUACCUCAAGGUUGGGGAUAACAUUUGGAAACAGAUGCUAAUACCGAAUAAAACUUCGUAUCGCAUGAUACAAGGUUAAAAGGCGCUACGGCGUCACCUAGAGAUGGAUCCGCGGUGCAUUAGUUAGUUGGUGGGGUAAAGGCCUACCAAGACAAUGAUGCAUAGCCGAGUUGAGAGACUGAUCGGCCACAUUGGGACUGAGACACGGCCCAAACUCCUACGGGAGGCUGCAGUAGGGAAUCUUCCACAAUGGGCGAAAGCCUGAUGGAGUAACGCCGCGUGUGUGAUGAAGGCUUUCGGGUCGUAAAGCACUGUUGUAUGGGAAGAACAGCUAGAGUAGGGAAUGACUUUAGUUUGACGGUACCAUACCAGAAAGGGACGGCUAAAUACGUG